GGGCCUGCGUUUCAUUAGCUAGUUGGUAGGGUAAUGGCCUACCAAGGCAACGAUGAGUAGCUGGUCUGAGAGGAUGAUCAGCCACACUGGAACUGAAACACGGUCCAGACUCCUACGGGAGGCAGCAGUGGGGAAUAUUGCGCAAUGGGCGAAAGCCUGACGCAGCAACGCCGUGUGAGGGAUGAAGGCUUUCGGGUCGUAAACCUCUGUCGGAAGGGAAGAACGGGCAUUGGCCUAAUAGGCCUUUGUUUUGACGGUACCUUUAGAGGAAGCACCGGCUAACUCCGUGCCAGCAGCCGCGGUAAUACGGAGGGUGCGAGCGUUAUUCGGAAUUACUGGGCGUAAAGCGCACGUAGGCCGCUUUGUAAGUCAGGGGUGAAAUCCCACGGCUCAACCGUGGAACUGCCUUUGAAACUGCAGAGCUUGAAUCCUGGAGAGGGUGGCGGAAUUCCUGGUGUAGGAGUGAAAUCCGUAGAUAUCAGGAGGAACACCGGUGGCGAAGGCGGCCACCUGGACAGGCAUUGACGCUGAGGUGCGAAAGUGUGGGGAGCAAACAGGAUUAGAUACCCUGGUAGUCCACACCGUAAACGAUGGACACUAGGUGCCGGGG
rnacentral:rRNA from 1 species